rnacentral:rRNA from 1 species
CCGAAUGGGGAAACCCAGUGUGAUUCGUCACACUAUCAUUAACUGAAUCCAUAGGUUAAUGAGGCGAACCGGGGGAACUGAAACAUCUAAGUACCCCGAGGAAAAGAAAUCAACCGAGAUUCCCCCAGUAGCGGCGAGCGAACGGGGAGGAGCCCAGAGCCUGAAUCAGCAUGUGUGUUAGUGGAAGCGUCUGGAAAGGCGCGCGAUACAGGGUGACAGCCCCGUACACAAAAGCGCAUGUGCUGUGAGCUCGAUGAGUAGGGCGGGACACGUGGUAUCCUGUCUGAAUAUGGGGGGACCAUCCUCCAAGGCUAAAUACUCCUGACUGACCGAUAGUGAACCAGUACCGUGAGGGAAAGGCGAAAAGAACCCCGGCGAGGGGAGUGAAAAAGAACCUGAAACCGUGUACGUACAAGCAGUGGGAGCACAGGUUUACCUGUGUGACUGCGUACCUUUUGUAUAAUGGGUCAGCGACUUAUAUUCUGUAGCAAGGUUAACCGUAUAGGGGAGCCGGAGGGAAACCGAGUCUUAAUUGGGCGUUAAGUUGCAGGGUAUAGACCCGAAACCCGGUGAUCUAGCCAUGGGCAGGUUGAAGGUUGGGUAACACUAACUGGAGGACCGAACCGACUAAUGUUGAAAAAUUAGCGGAUGACCUGUGGCUGGGGGUGAAAGGCCAAUCAAACCGGGAGAUAGCUGGUUCUCCCCGAAAGCUAUUUAGGUAGCGCCUCGUGAAUUCAUCUCCGGGGGUAGAGCACUGUUUCGGCUAGGGGGCCAUCCCGGCUUACCAACCCGAUGCAAACUGCGAAUACCGGAGAAUGUUAUCACGGGAGACACACGGCGGGUGCUAACGUCCGUCGUGAAGAGGGAAACAACCCAGACCGCCAGCUAAGGUCCCAAAGUCAUGGUUAAGUGGGAAACGAUGUGGGAAGGCCCAGACAGCCAGGAUGUUGGCUUAGAAGCAGCCAUCAUUUAAAGAAAGCGUAAUAGCUCACUGGUCGAGUCGGCCUGCGCGGAAGAUGUAACGGGGCUAAACCAUGCACCGAAGCUGCGGCAGCGANNUGCUGGAGGUAUCAGAAGUGCGAAUGCUGACAUAAGUAACGAUAAAGCGGGUGAAAAGCCCGCUCGCCGGAAGACCAAGGGUUCCUGUCCAACGUUAAUCGGGGCAGGGUGAGUCGACCCCUAAGGCGAGGCCGAAAGGCGUAGUCGAUGGGAAACGGGUUAAUAUUCCCGUACUUGGUGUUACUGCGAAGGGGGGACGGAGAAGGCUAUGUUGGCCGGGCGACGGUUGUCCCGGUUUAAGCGUGUAGGUGUGUGUUCCAGGUAAAUCCGGUUCACUUUAACACUGAGGCGUGACGACGAGGCACUACGGUGCUGAAGCAACAAAUGCCCUGCUUCCAGGAAAAGCCUCUAAGCAUCAGGUAACAUCAAAUCGUACCCCAAACCGACACAGGUGGUCAGGUAGAGAAUACCAAGGCGCUUGAGAGAACUCGGGUGAAGGAACUAGGCAAAAUGGUGCCGUAACUUCGGGAGAAGGCACGCUGACACGUAGGUGAAGUGAUUUACUCAUGGAGCUGAAGUCAGUCGAAGAUACCAGCUGGCUGCAACUGUUUAUUAAAAACACAGCACUGUGCAAACACGAAAGUGGACGUAUACGGUGUGACGCCUGCCCGGUGCCGGAAGGUUAAUUGAUGGGGUCAGCGCAAGCGAAGCUCCUGAUCGAAGCCCCGGUAAACGGCGGCCGUAACUAUAACGGUCCUAAGGUAGCGAAAUUCCUUGUCGGGUAAGUUCCGACCUGCACGAAUGGCGUAAUGAUGGCCAGGCUGUCUCCACCCGAGACUCAGUGAAAUUGAACUCGCUGUGAAGAUGCAGUGUACCCGCGGCAAGACGGAAAGACCCCGUGAACCUUUACUAUAGCUUGACACUGAACAUUGAGCCUUGAUGUGUAGGAUAGGUGGGAGGCUUUGAAGUGUGGACGCCAGUCUGCAUGGAGCCGACCUUGAAAUACCACCCUUUAAUGUUUGAUGUUCUAACGUGGACCCGUAAUCCGGGUUGCGGACAGUGUCUGGUGGGUAGUUUGACUGGGGCGGUCUCCUCCUAAAGAGUAACGGAGGAGCACGAAGGUUGGCUAAUCCUGGUCGGACAUCAGGAGGUUAGUGCAAUGGCAUAAGCCAGCUUGACUGCGAGCGUGACGGCGCGAGCAGGUGCGAAAGCAGGUCAUAGUGAUCCGGUGGUUCUGAAUGGAAGGGCCAUCGCUCAACGGAUAAAAGGUACUCCGGGGAUAACAGGCUGAUACCGCCCAAGAGUUCAUAUCGACGGCGGUGUUUGGCACCUCGAUGUCGGCUCAUCACAUCCUGGGGCUGAAGUAGGUCCCAAGGGUAUGGCUGUUCGCCAUUUAAAGUGGUACGCGAGCUGGGUUUAGAACGUCGUGAGACAGUUCGGUCCCUAUCUGCCGUGGGCGCUGGAGAACUGAGGGGGGCUGCUCCUAGUACGAGAGGACCGGAGUGGACGCAUCACUGGUGUUCGGGUUGUCAUGCCAAUGGCACUGCCCGGUAGCUAAAUGCGGAAGAGAUAAGUGCUGAAAGCAUCUAAGCACGAAACUUGCCCCGAGAUGAGUUCUCCCUGAGACUUAGAGUCUCCUGAAGGAACGUUGAAGACGACGACGUUGAUAGGCCGGGUGUGUAAGCGCAGCGAUGCGUUGAGCUAACCGGUACUAAUGAACCGUGAGGCUUAACCUUACAACGCCGAAG